rnacentral:sRNA from 1 species
GACCACACGGGAGCGCCGUACAGGGCCAUU